rnacentral:tRNA from 1 species
GAGAGUAUAGCUAAAUGGAAGAGUGCUCACUUCAUGUGUGAGGCCCUGGGUUCAAUACCCAGCAUCACA